rnacentral:rRNA from 1 species
ACGGCGCUCGAAGCGCGUCGUGGUAUUUCGCGUAUUGUAAUUUCAACACGAGCGGGGUCAAAUCCUUUGCAGACGACUUAGCUGUGCGAAACGGUCCUGUAAGCAGUAGAGUAGCCUUGUUGUUACGAUCUGCUGAGGGUAAGCCGUCCUUCGCCUCGAUUUCCCCAAUGGGUUCUCCGGAUUUCUGGAGACUUGUAGGGGUUGUGGGCUUUUUUCGAUGUGUCGUCUCUGGACGGGCGGUGCAGGGUAGUCGAGUUGGACUUGGUCGAUCUGGAUGUCGGUUCUCUGGCUGACGGAUCUCAGAGCUUUGGAACGAGAUGGGAGUGGUGCAGGGUAGGCAACUUCUGUCUUUGCCAGGAUGCGAUUCGCGUUGAGAUGUGCGGUCUAGGUUAGGUACAGGGUAGGUAGAAUCUCAGUUUCGUCGCUACAGUUUGCCAUAGGUGUAGGGUAGGUACAGGGUAGGCAGAUUUCUCCUCCGGCCAGUACUUGCUUAUGCGUGCGAAAUGGUUCUGUGGUCUGGUGGGCGUGAGUCGAUUUUUUUGUUUUGCCAUACAAACGAAUUUUGCGGGAAAUCAAAAGUGGCCCACGAGUCGGGUCUGGCGUGCGUCCGACUGGAACAUCGUCGGUGGACAUAUGAGAGG